GUGUUCACCUGGACAACAGACUAGAGUGGAGAUGCAACUGUGAAGCCAGAAAUUGCAGAGGCAGACAAUAUUUCAAAAUACCAUAUUUUUUUUAUCUCUGACAUAAUGAUUUUCUUAUUUUUUGUUUUUACAGGUCCGUGUGAGGAUGCAUUGGAAGUGCAAAUACUGUAUACAUGAAGUUCAACAGGAUUGUUGGCAAGAACCUCAAGCAGGAAAUCUAUGAGAGCAUCGAUCGCCACAGUCCUCGUCUUAUAAGAGAGGGAAUGUUGGCCAAAAGCUGACACAGCUUUUGGCUAACAGACCAAGACUGCAGAGCCAACUGCUAUUGGGACACUAGUUCUCAGAGUGCUUCCUCUUAUCCUUGGAGACAACCCCUCAGACAUCUACAAACAAGGCUCU